AACUAAGAGAAUUGAUGUAGAAAACUGAUUGUAUUAUUGAAUGAGAAAUAGCCUUUAAAUAGGCAAACAAAACAACUAAAUCAGAGAAAUAAAAGGAGCACUACUAAGCACUACUGCAUAAUCAGAUGUGCAGAAAAUAAAUGAAUAAAUCCCUACAAACUAGGACAUAUUCUAACUGAAUUCUGACUCAUUAUUCAACAAGUUAAAAUUUUUAUUUUUAUUUUUAAAAAAAUUUAACACAUUUUAAAAAUAUAAUAAAUUUUAUCGCAUUUUAAAGUACAGUAAACUUUAAAUUCAUCUUAAUUCGAAAAAAAUUUUUUACCAAAUCAGAAAUUUAAGAAUUUUUUUAAAUUUUUUUAUCUAUAUUUGAUUAAAAAAAUCCUGCAUUAUAGCUGUAUAAUUUUAGUUUAAGGGUUGAGGUUGUUUAUCCCAUUACCAUUAACACAUUAAAUUUUUUAUUAAUUUUAACUAAAAUAAAAUUGAAUAUAAAAAUAAUUUUCUAGCUAAAUACUUUUAGCUAAAAUAAAAUUAAUAUUCAUAAAUAUUAAAAUUACAAGAAUAAAUUUUAGCUAAAAUUAAUUUAAUAUCAUUAUUUUAGGAAAUUUUAACUAAAAAGUUUAAAAUUCAACUUUAAUUAUUAGCUAAUAUUUUAUUUUUGUAAUCUUAUUAAAAUUAAUAAUCAUGAUUAAUUUAUUAGCUAAUUGAUUAAUCUUAUUAACCAAAAUAAUGAUUAAUUUUAUAAAAUAUUUUAGAUAAUAAAUAUUAAUUUUAUUAGCUAAAAGAUUAAUAAUUAAAAAAAUAAAUUACACUAAUUAAUUUUAGUUAAAAUAUUAAUUUUUCUGUUUAGAACUAUAUCUAAUCACAAUUUGCACGCGCUAUUAAUUUCCUGUUUUAUUACAAAUGCAAAUGCACGUUGCAAAUUUUAAAAUUUUAAAUGAAUCUUAUAAUUUUAGGAAAUUUCAAAUCAAUAUUUAGAAAAUGUUCUAUCACAACUGUGUGUAGAAAUUUUUUUUAAUAUUUAAUUUUUAUUAUUUGUAUAUUAAAUUAAAUAGAAUAUUAAACAGAUUUAACAUUUUUUUAUAUUAAAUUAAAAAUUAAAUAAAAAUGAUAAAUAAUAUAAAAAUAAAAAGGCAAACCCAAUAUUCCCCUACCCACAUUUAUAUAUAUAUUUAAGAUAAUUUAAAAAAAGUAAGGAUGGAAGCAAUCAUGCAAGCACUUGAUCAUCAUUCUCAACUAUAGUGAUCCUGACCUCACCUUUUCAACAAGAUAUCGAGAUAUGCCUUAAAAGUAACCUCAAACUCUUUGACCACUCUGGCCUUUAAAUUUUCUUGUUUCUGUCUCUAUAUUAUUAUUUAAGAAAAUUUAUUAUUUAAUCUAGUAGAUAUUAUCAUUAUUAAUAAAUUAGUUUCUAUAUUUUCAAAAAUUUAUUAAAACGUCCUUAUUUUUUUUCUCUGUCAAUGAAAUAGUUCUCCCGUUUUAUUUUCUGUUAAAAAUAGAUGAGAUAUAAAAGAUAAAAAUUUUAAAAUUCAAUUUUACCCUCACAUAAAAUCUCUUAUUUAGCUCAUGAGUAUUACUAUUAUUAAUAAGUUAGUCCCUAUAUUUUCAGAAAUCUAUUAAAACGUUUUUAUAUUUUUUCAGAUCUAUUAAAAUAUUUUUAUCUUUUCUCAAAUUUAUUAAAACAUUCUUAUCGUUUCUUCCCGUCAACGAAAUAGUCCAUCCUCUUCAAAAGAAAAAGAAAAAAAAAGAAAAAGAAGAUGAUGAUGAUGAUGAAGAAGAAAAAAGAAGAAAUAAGAAGGAGAAGAAGAUAAUGAUAAUGAAGAAGAAGAUGAUGAUGAUGAAGAAGAAAGAAGAAAAGAAGAAGAAGCAAAAGGAAGAGGAGGAGGAGAGUAAUUUGGUCUUUUAUUAUACUUUUAACGGUAGAAAUAGACGGAAGAACUAUUUUGUUGAUGAAAAUAAAAGAUAAAAACGUUUUAAUAGGUUUCUGAAAAUGUAAAAACUGACUUGUUGAUGGCAAUACUUAGAAACUAAAUUAUAAAUCUCUUUAUUAUUUAUUAUUGAGAACAAAAGAAAAAAAAAUUAAUUAAAAGCUUUAAAAGGAGACAAAAUCUUAAUAGGCGAAUCCUUUUGAAUUUUUAGCAUUCGCAUUGAAAAUGUAUAUAUAGUAACCGUCAUGUUAAAAUUGAACACUUAAUCUGCAUUUCUAACAUUUAAAAUUAAUAAGCAACGGAAAAAGUUUUGUCACCACCACUUAAUUCUUUCUUGUACUUGAAGAAAUGAAAACAAAAGUUCUUCCUACAAUCAUUUUAUAUUUGAUAAAUUUAAGGUACAGGGGAUCAUUAAGAUAUUCUUGGUUAUAACAUAAUUUAUUUGGAUGGUUGCAUUUUCUUAUUGAUUUGUAUUUAAAUUAUUAUUUAUAUAUUUAUUGCCAUUUUUUUUUUUGAAAUAAGGGGUUGGGGGAGUCGAACCUUAGACCUGUCAAGAUUACAGGAUGCACUUUCCACCAGGCUAAACCUUGGAGUGCAUAUAUUUAUUGCCAUUGACUUGGUGACUUUAUUUUGCUUAAACAAAAAUUUCACUAUUAUUGAAUUAUUCAAUUUAUUUUAUUAAAAAUUUCAUGCAUAUUUAUUUACAGGUAAUUUACUUACUAUCAUAUUAUCCUUGCAUCAAAUAAAGGCGUCAUUUCCUCAAUUUCAUGUUUAUGCUCUUUACAUUAUUUAGCAAAUGAAUGCUGGGCUAAAAAGUUUCUGCAAUCAAUUGUUAUCAAUUAAAGCGCCUCUUGUAUACAUAGAUAAUGUCCAUAAACUUAAUUUUAACAUGUAAUUUUAUUCCAGUUCAAAAAAAAAAAGUAAUUUUACUUUAAUUUAUUUUUUUUAUAAAUAUUAGAUAUUUUAUAUGAAUUAUUUGAUUUUAAUAAUAUAUAUAAUUUAUUUUUAUUGAUCAAAAUUAUUGUAAUUGAUAUAUUAUAUUUCUUUAUGUAUUAUCUUGAGAUUAUACAAUUGAUAUAUUAUAUUUCUUUAUGUAUUAUCUUGAGAUUAUACAAUUAAACAAAAUAUAUUUAAAGAUAAAUAAAUAAAUUUAGUAAUAAAUUAAAUUUGAAAUAUUUGGAUUUUUCUGAUGGAUUUGUGACGGCAUAAGCGGUCACCAUGCUUAGUGACAGAUUUAGAUGAAAUAGUAAUUGAAAGCAUUUUUUUUAAAUUAGCGACGAAAGUUUUUGUUGAUAAAUUUUUUGAUGGUUUUAUCUGUCGAAAAUUUGUGCUAACAUUUUCAACUGUUGUGAAAAUUUGUUGGAAAAAUUUAGCGAAAGAAUUUUAAGUGACGGAUCUUGAUUCAUCGGAAAUCUGUCGCUGAAAGUAUUAGCGAUAGAUUUUGAAUUAUGAGUGACGCUCAUCAUUAAUAGUCUUUUUUAUAGUGAUUUCUACUGAGUCUAGUUGUAACACAUGUGAUAGGUCAAAUAUGUGCCUUUCCAGUAUCGACGUGUGAAACACCGGAUGAACAUGUGAGCACUCUAAUGGUAACUCUAGUCGAUAAGCAACUGCUCAACUCUAUUUAUAAUUUCAAAAGGUCCCACAUAUCAAGAUACCAAUUUACCUUUCUUUUCGAAUCUCAUCACUCCCUUCAUAAAUAUAUAAUCCUCACCUGAAAACUCCACAUCUCGCCUAUUAGGGUCUGCAUAACUCUUCUGUCUACUAAAAACUAUUUUUAAGUGUUCCUGAAUCAAUAGUACUUUUUUUGCUGUAUAUUGAAUCAAAUCAACAUCAUGGACUUUAACUUCACCAACCUCUGUCCUACACAAGGAGAAUUUGCAUUUUCUUCUAUAGAAAGCGUUAUAAAGUGUUAUACAAAUACUGGAGUGAUAACUGUUAUUGUAAGAAAAUUCUAUCAAUGGUAGUUGAUCAUCCCACUAGCCACCAAAAUCUAUGACGCACAUAUGAAACAUAUCUUCUAAUAUUUUUAUAGUCCUCUUAGACUAUCGAUCAGUCUACAAGUGGAAGGCUAUAAUGAAAUUUAAUCGGGUGCCAAGUACCUCUUGUAGCUUCUUCCAAAAUCAAGAAGUGAAUUGAGGUCCUCUAUUUGAUAUUAUUGAAGUUGGAACUCCAUACAACCUAACUAUCUCUCAAACAUACCAUUAACAUAUUGAGUAGCUAAAAAGGUCACCUUCAUAGAUAAAAAAUGAGCUGACUUAGUCAAAUGAUCUAUGAUUACCCAUAUGGAGUCAUAUCCUCUAAUAGUAUGCGGAAAACUAGACACAAAGUCCAUAGUGAUGAUUUUCCAUUUCUAUUUUCGUAUAGGGAUCUCAUGUAGCUUUCCUGAGGACCUCUAGUAUUCAAACCUCACUUUUUGACAUGUUAGGCAUUUAGACAUAAAGUCUACAAUGUGUUUCAUGCCAUUCCACUAAUAUCUGCCUUUCACAUCUUCAUAUAUUUUUAUGUACCCAAGGUGAAUAGUAUAAGGUAUGUAGUUUGCUUCAUGCAUGAUCUCAUUUCUCAAGUGAUCUUCAUUGAGCACACAUACCCAUGACCCUUACAUGAGAGUACCAUCACCAUGAAACCUAAAGUCAUAGUCUUUACUCUAUUGUACCUUUUCUAUAAUUUGCAUCAAUUUUGGGUUCCUGUGUUGUGAAAUUCUAAUUUUAUCUCUGAUCUGAUCAUACUUUAAAGUAUGCUAAAACUGCACCUAACGCAAAUAUAUCAAGUAUCAAAACCUGAUCUAUCAAUUUAUGUAAAUCUUGUAUCAAAUACAUUCUCUCUACUGUUAUGUGCAAGACUACCUGAUUAUUUUCUACUCAAGGCAUAUGCCAUUAUAUUAGCUUUUUCAAGGUGAUACUGAAUAGUGCAAUCAUAAUAUAUUCUUCAAAAGUUCCAUCCAUUUUCUGCCUUAAAUUUAGAUCCCUUUGUUGAAAAAUGUAUUUCAAACUCUUAUGGUCAAUAUAUAUCUUCUAUGUCUCCAAUAAAGAUAAUGUCUCCAUAUCUUUAGUGUAAAGAUUAUAGUCGUUAUUUCAAAGAUCUUGGGUAGGGUAGAUUUCUUUAAUUAUCGAGAUGCAUAGGCUAUCACUCUACCAUUUUGCAUCAAAACACAUUCCAACCCUUGAUGCGUCAUAAUACACUGUAUAUCCACUUCCACUAGUUGGUAAGGUCAACACAAGAGUUGUAGUUAAACAAUCCGUAAGCUUUUAGAAGCUCUCUUCACAAGCAUUAGAUGAAAAAAACUUCACAUUCUUUUGUGUCAAUCGGGGUAAAGGACUGUUUAACUAAACUACCAUUUUGCAUCAAAACACAUUCCAACCCUUGAUGCGUCACAAUACACUAUAUAUCCACUUCCACUAGUUGGUAAGGUCAACACAAGAGUUGUAGUUAUACAGUCCUUAAGCUUUUAGAAGCUUUCUUCACAAGCAUUAGAUGAAAAAAACUUCACAUUCUUUUGUGUCAAUUGGGUUAAAUGAGCUGCAAUUUUGGAGAAAUUCUAUACAAAUCAUUGAUAAUACCCGACUAGGCCUAUGAAACUUUGUACCUCUGUUACUAUAGUAAGGCUUAGCCAAUUAACCACUAUUAGGAAACCCAGAGAUUUACUGCAACCCAAAUACGCAGUGAAAAAAAAAAUAAAAUCUUUGAUUUUCUUUCCGGGAUCCGUGUACUUCAUUUAAUUCGAAAGGAAGGAUAAGCUACUAACCUGUUAGACUCGACGAGAAGAUACAAUCUCGGACUCAAGGUGCUGCUUUUCAACGAACACCCACUAUGGUAUCCACACGAACGUCUUCUAUCCUUCUAGAGUGCUAGCUCUCUCAAGGAUGGAUAGAUUAUGUGCUCCACAAUCUGCAACUAUUAGACUGAAUUUUCUAAAAAUGUUAACUCCACAAUUCGUAGGAGUUUUUAUAUGUUUCAGUCUUUUUGUUUUCCCACAACUCUUUUCGUAAAAGAUUUGUGUUCAGAAUCCACCAUCACGAUCUCACAGAUACUCAAAUAUCUCAUGUGAUAGAGUUGUGUUCAUAACCAACUACCACAAUCUCGCAGAUACUUAAAUAUCUCAUGUGAUAGAGUUCUUUAUCUGUAAAAAUUACAGAUAGACUACAGAUCCCUUUUAAAUAUUAUUAUCUUAUAAUAAUAAAUAAUUAAUAUUAAUAAUAAUAACACUUUAUUAUUAUUAAUUAUACUAAUGGGCCUUUAGCCUAUUAAUAUAGCACAUCAACACUUUUAAAUAUUAUUAUCUUAUAAUAAUAAAUAAUUAAUAUUAAUAAUAAUAACACUUUAUUAUUAUUAAUUAUACUAAUGGGCCUUUAGCCUAUUAAUAUAGCACAUCAACAACGUUCUUGUGUGUGACCCAAUAGGCUCACAUUAAUUGGCAAUAAGUCCAGUCCCACAAGGCUCAUAAAUCAUAAGCAGCCUCUACCAAGAUAUUAUGACUAUCCAAUUAAUAUGAGGAUCGAUAGUCCGAUAAAGCUUAUUAAAUAGAACAUGUAUUAAUCCCUUUGUCACACGAUAUCUAGUUUGAACAUAAAUCAUGGUCAAUGUCAAACUUAUAAUGUUCAAACUUAUGAUUUCUCGAUCUCUAAGUAGACUGAUAAAUUCAAAUGAUAUUGAUCAUACUAUCAAUUCAUUUGAGCAUGGCCAUGCAUUUCUCAGUCUCACUUAUCGAGGGGCCCAAAAGAUAUCUCUCUCAAAGAGAGGGACAAAUUCUAUCUUGAUUGUUCAAUAUCAUCUACAUAAUUUCUAUUAUGCUCAAUCACAACCUUUAUGAUUGUCCGAUUAAAGACAAUGUUUGGUUAUGUCAAAACAUAGAAGUCCUUAUGUUGGAAACUAUGACAAUCUCAAGUCAAAGGAUUAAGACAUAACUACUUUGAGAUUCACUUAUGACAAUAACCUAUGUAGUGAUCUCAGUGCGGGUCCAUUCAAUACUUUGUUCUCUAACAAAUAUAUAUGAUUAUUGAAUUAUAUUAACAUAUACAUAAUUAUCUCAUGAUUAUCAAUCAAUAACCAUACUAGUUGUAUUUUAUUAUUAUCAACAUAAUAAUAAGUAACCAGGGAUGUUAAUCAUUAUUAUGUAACAUGCAAACAAAUAAUAAUGAUAAUAAAACCUCUUUUAUUAAUAACCAAAAUGACAUACAAAAAGGUCCAAAAUAAUGGCCUAGCGCAAAUACACUAACAACCACUGCCUCUAUCUUGUUUGGAUAAACUUAAAUGCCUUUUUUAGAAACCACAUGCCCCAAGGAUGAAAUACUUUGCAACCAAAGUUCACAUUUAGAGAACUUGGCAUACAACUAAUAUUCUCUCAAAGUUUGUAAGACCAUUCUCAAAUGUCAAGCAUGCUCCACUUUAGUUUGAGAAUAUACUAAGAUAUCAUCUAUAAAAAAAAUAACAAAGUGAUCUAUGAAUAAUUUGAACACCCUGUUCAUUAGAACCAUUAAUGUUGUUAGGGCAUAUUAUUGUUGGACCAUUCUCAAUUGAUGAUAGCUUGAUCAUAGGCCAAUUUUGGAGAAGUAUUGAGCCCUUUGUAGUUGAUCAAAUUAAUUAUCAAUCUAAGAAAGUGGAUAUUUAUUCUUAAUUAUCACCUUAUUUAACUGUCUACAAUUGAUGUAAAGCAAUAAAAGACUGAUCUUUCUUUCUCACAAAUAAAACUGGAGCACCCAAGGGAAUGUGCUCGGUUGAAUAAAGCCAUUUUUAAUAACUUCUACAACUACUCCUUCAAUUAUUUAAGUCUGGUGGUGCCACCCUAUAUGGUGGUAUAGAGAUGGGAUUGGUAUCUGAUACAUCAUCAAUGCAUAACUCAGUUUUUCUCUUAGAGGUAACCUUCGUCACUCAUCUGGAAAAGACAUUCGAAAAUUUUUUAACCAUAAAAACAUUAUCCACACUAGGACUUUCUACAGAUGUGUCCCUCACUAACACUAAAUAACCCUGAUAACCCUGCCUCAACAUCUUUUUAACACUGAUAGCGGAUACCAGAUUAUAAGGCCCCACACCUUUAGUGCCAUCAAAAUUGAACUCUUCAGUUUUAGAAAUAUGGAAGAUGACUUGCUUAUUACUAUAAUCCAAUGUGACAUAAUGAUUGGAAAAUUAAUCCUUUCUAAGAAUGAUAUCAAAAUCCAUCACUAGAAGAGGAAUCAAAUCUCCAGAAAGACCCUUAUCAUUCAUUUUAACUGGACAAAAUGGAAAAAUCAUGUUGACCUUAAAAGUGUCACUCAUAGGAGUAGCCUCUAGUAAAGGACAUUUUAAACUUUUAGAAGCUAACUUGAACCUCAUGGAAAACAAAGAGAAACAAGUGAGUGUGUUGCAUCCAGAUCAACCAAAACAUGUGCCUCAAAAGAUUGGACUCAAAGUAUUCUUAAUACCAUGGCAUUGGAUGCAUGUGCAUCUUGAUGGGUGAGAGUAAAUCUACCCUCUGCUUGAUUGCAUAAAACUAUGUAUCUAACCUCUGGUAGAAGCUCUACCCCCUGGAUAUUUUUCCUCCAAAACCUUGACCCUAUUGGCCAUUAAUUGAAUGCUAGCAAAUGCAGAAGCGCCUGAGUAUCCAGGUUGAACUUUAGUAGCCAUAGGAUCUUGUAAUCCUGACUGUUGUCCUCUAAAAAUUGGACACUCCUUGGCAAAAAUGACCUUGCUGGCCACAUUUCAAUAACCAUUAGUUUGCAUGAAGCAGGGGCUUUGGUGAAUGUGGCCACACUAGGGAAAUGGUGCAUAAGAUGAUCCUAAUCCUGAUCCUGAUUCUUACCCUUCUGUUUAGAAUUCUACCUACUGCUGCUAGAGCUAUAAUCCUAUCUAUAACCUCUACUCUUAUGUCUACAUUCCUUUUGUUUAGAUUGUUCAAAACUAGUUUUAUGACCAUUCUGACUAGGGCCUCUGCUAGAACCUAUUGCAAAGCUCCAUUGUGACUUAGAUUUUGUGCACUAGACAAUCCCUCCACUUUAUUCUUCUUAUUUCCACUAUCCUCGACUUCACAUCUCACGUCAACCUGGCGCGCCUCUCUACCACAAUACCAAAAGGCUAGUAUGCUAAUAUGGCUAAGUUGGCAUAUCUAUGUCUAGGCCCUUUAGGAAUCUCUUCACCUUCAUUGCCUUUAUAGUUACAACUGUAGGGGCAUACCUGCUCAAUUCUAGAAACUUUAUAGUAUACUCACAAAUUGACCUACCAUCCUAUUUAAAGGCUUCAAAGGCCCAUUGUUGACUGUCUUUGAAAACUCUAGUACAAAUUUGUUAAUAAACAAUAUAAAAUUGACCCCAAGUAGUUGUGUAAACCAAAAUGAUAAGCGGUUGUCGAAGCCGUAAAAAAUAAACCUAUUAAACAAUCAACAAUUAACUUGUAGAUAGUGGCAAUAGGGUCGAACCACAGGGAUUUGACACUACGGAUUUUCCUACUAAUGACUUGGACAAGUAAAUAACAAGAAAUUAAAAGAGGGGGGUUUUGUUUUGAUGAUUAAAACUAAAUAGCAAGAGAAAGCAAUAAUUUAAAUAGAUGAGAAUUUCAAUAGGAGAAGAAUUCUAGUUGAAGAAUGGAUCUAUUUCAGUUGUUUAGAAUUGAUCAUUGAUCUUUUCGAUACUCCUAUUUAUUUCAAUAAAUUAGUUUAGGAUGUGGAAGACGCUUCUCACAAUCCAAAUUUCUCCUUAGUUCUAGUUUGGUUAGGAAACGUUCGCUAAUCAAACACUAGUUAACAAGUUGCCAAGGAACGUCCUUGGGGCUUUUAGCAUUAAACAAUUGUUAACUGCAUUAAGACUUAGAGAAACCUAAUUCUAACCUUGCCAACUGCGUGGUCAAGUUUAGAUUAUGCAACUUGAUUAAAUGUAUGUUUAAAUAAUCUAAGCAAUUACGGACCUAAAUUAUUCAAACAAUUGUUACUCAAGCAAUUAAAAGCAAUAGGCCUAAAUUGAUUCUAAAAGCAAAGCAACAAUUAUAGAAAGAUCAAAUUGCAUAAAUAUUGAAAAUAAAUAGAAGUUUAACAAUGGAGAUUUAAAUCUCCCAAUUCAUCAUAAAUCUGAAUUUUCCAACUUCAACUAGAAAAGAAAAGUGUUUAGCCACUCAUGGUGGACAAAAUCACAAAAGAAAGAAGAAAAGAAAGAAGAAGAAAAGCUGCUGUAUUUUUAUGCAGAAUUGCUGAAGAUGAGAUGAAGAAGAGAUGCCUUUGCUGGUUUGGAGGCUGCUCUUUUAUAGCUGAAAAUUCCCAUCCAUCUAGGGUUUUGAAAUCCCUUUUUGAUUUGGCUUAUGAUUCCUCUUUUGAUGUUGAAUUUAAUUGCAAAUGGAAUUCCUUAGGUGAGAAACUCUUUCGUGGCUCUUGAAAUUGUGUUGGUAGUGAUUGAGUUGGAUUUGGACUUCUAAAAAUUCGAUAUUCGGUUCCUUGCUGUUUUCCUGCCUCUGCUGUCAAUUUCUGCUGUCAAGGUGAUUUGGGCAAAUCACUUGCUCGAUCUGCCCCAAUCGCUCUCUGGGAUUUCAGUCCAGUUUCUGUCUCUGUUUCUGCGAGUGAUUUGGCCAGUUUCUGCGAGUGAUUUGGGCAAAUCACUUUGAUCAAAUCACUUUUCCAGCUUUUUCUUCACUUUUUCUCCAACUUUCCAAUUUCUUCCUUUUCUGUAAAAACAUAACAAAAACACAAAUUAAGCUAGAAAAAUGUGUAAAUAAACAGUAAUAAAUAUAAUAAAAAUGUGGCUAAAUUAUGCUUGAUCAAAUACCCCCACACCUAGCUUUUUGCUUGUCCUCAAGCAACAAACAACUUAGUCAAUCAAGCCCCUUUUUCUUUUGAGCCUAAGCACCACUUAAUCAGCCCCCCUAGACUCCUCAACUGAAGCAUUAUAGUAUAGAAUACUUGCACUAAGGUUGUUCUACCUUUUCCUUAUUUCCUUUCACCUACCAUGGCCAAGAGAAAGGUUUUUGGUUCAAUCAUGCUUAUUCUUUUUAUAUAAGCUCAAUGCAAUUUCUAAGAGUGAUUUGCCCUUCUUUUGAAUCACAAUUUUUAUUCAGCAGCACUUUAUUUAUUCUUGCCUGAAAAAAUCACUAACCUUUUUACGCGAAGGUGCAUAUUGGUGAUACCCACCCCCGGUUACUCAGUUAGUCACUUGUUCAAGUGGCUACUAGCUCUGUUCAUAGCUUAUUUGGCCAUUGGAACAGGUUUAUGAUUUGUGCUUUGUGCUGGUUUUUCUUUUUCUUUUCUUUUCAUAGUAUUUUGGGCAAAUCUCCUCAUAGGGAAUUACACUAACUUUUUGUUUGCAUGUAUUUAUAUUUUUAUUUCCCUUGUCCAUAGCAAAUCUUAAGGAUUCAAUUCAAGAAAAGAACUCCCUAAGUGAAGGUAUUAAACUAUGAAUGAUUCAAUUUAGGCUUAAAGGGGUGGAAAAUCAAUGGGGUCAUGAGAUAGGAAGCUCUUUUAACCUUAUUAUCUAUGCUGAGUAGAGCAAAAGCUAAGUCAAAAUUCUGUGUGUGCGUGUGAAAAAAAAAUGUGUGAAAAAAGAAAAAAAAUUGGUGUGUGUUUAUGGGGCAAAAAGAUGCAAAAUGAAACAAAAAAGAAAGCAAAAAUAUAAUGUAAUCAAUGCAAAAAUAUAACCUAGCAGUAAAUACCCCCACACAUAUCCCAAACAUUGUCCUCAAUGUUUAAACAUAAAUAUGAAAAAAUUAAUAAGGAGAAGGAAAGGGACUGCCUGGGAUGUGGGUGAUUAGGCCAAGUGAUUUGGGCAAAUCACUGGUCAAAUCACUGUCGUGACUGGUCUGUGGGCAGAAAAUGUUGAACCAGCAGCUGCAACAUGCUUUCCAUGUGCUGCAUCCUGUCUUGAGCCUCCACCGAAUGGUCUUGAGGUGCCUUUUAUGUCCUCCAAGGUCCACCCAAUUGCUUUCUUGUGCUUCCUCAACACAUCAAGGAGCUUUUCCUCUUCUUCUUGGCUGAGCUAGUUAGAAAUAAUUACUGGAAGUGUAUUUCCAGCUCCCAAGUAGGCAUAUUUGAGGUGGCUGGGCAAGGGCUUCAGAUCUGGUGCAUUUUCUGUCUGCUGGUUUGCUUGCUGUCUGCUUGCUGAUGGGGGCAGAUUUGGUGUUGAUUUGGGCAAAUUGAUUUCUGCUUGCACUGAUGAUUUGGGCUGAUCACCUUCUGUCAUGUCUGUCUGCUCACUGAUUUGGGCAGAUUGUCUGGGUGAUUUGGACAGAUCACUGCCCUGAUCACUUUCUGGCAGAUUUUGUUCCAUGGCCUGUUUUUGCAAUUUUUCAGCCCUACUGUCUUGCAGCUCUUUUUCACUCCUCAAUGUGAUGGCACUAGCAUUUUGCCUUGGAUUUAUCUCAGUUUGGGAAGGUAGCUUUCUUUGUGAUUCAAGCUUACUCAAGGAUGAAGCCAUUUGUCCCACUUGUUGUUUCUUUGCUGGCUGUUCAGGAGCUGUUUGAGUGGUGUAUGUUGCUGGUUCAGCGAGUGCAACAGCUUCUGGUUCAGUGGUGUCAAUUUCUGAGGUUGCUGGUGUUUGGACAGCAAUAAGGGAUGUAAUGGUGGCAGAUUCAGCACUUGCUGAUUUUUGGACAGCAGGUUCAACAAUUGCUGAUGUAAUUGUGGAAUUUUCAGCAGGUGGACAGCAACUGUUGUCUCUAUUUGCAGUAGGUUGGACAGGCAGAUUUCCAGCUUGAAUUUCAGCUUCUUCACGUGCAACAGGGGGUUCUGCCAUUGCUGGAUUUUCUGCAGUAAUCUGGAACUUAGUUUCUAGUGUAAUUUUAGCAGUGGCAGGCGUGGCAGUGGGUGAUUUUGCUGGUGCAGAAAAUUCUUCAGCAGGUACAGCAGCAAAAUCUGUAGGUGUAGAAAAAUCUACUGGUGCAGAAAAUUCUGCUGGUGCAGAAAAUUCUACAGUAACCUGGAAUCGGGUAUCUGGUUCAAAUGUAGCAGUGGCUGGUGUGGCAGUAGAUGGACUUGCUGGUGCAGAAAGUGUUACAGCAACAAAUUCAAUAUUUUUGACAGUAGGAGCUAUCUCUUGGGAGGCAGAAGCUUCAACAAGCGUUGUUUGGGCAGUAGCUGGUUCAGCUUCAAGUGUAGUGGUGAUUUGUGCAGCAGACUCAACAGCUCGGUCUGUCUCUUCGUCAUCGUCCCAUAGAUCUUGAAGCUCUUCCUCUCUUCUUAAUAUGUAUGCAUCCACUGAGUUGACCGCUUGAUCCACUUGCUGUUGGAGAAUUUUCCCAGAAAUUUCCAACCUCCUCACCAUCUCUUCAAGUUCCAUAUUGGAGUUUUGAGGUGUUGCUUGGGCUUGAUAGUUUUGGUAGUAGUCAGCCCUUGCAUAGCCAUAAUUCGGAUUGUCCUCCCAACAUGGAUUGUAUUGCAGAUCUCUUUGGUAGUCAUGGUAGUGGUCUGUCCUAGCAUAGUCAUAGCUCAGAUUGUCUCCACAACCUGUAUUGUAUGUGUCAAGGUAGGGAUUAUGUCUUGGCUGUCCAUAGAAUCCUUCAAAUGCAUGUGCUUGUUGAAGUUGUUGGGCUUGACCUAUACCAUAAUUUCUCACCAUAGAGGUUAGUUCAGAAAUUUGAGAAGAGAGAAAAGACAUACCGUAGCCAUGCUUGUAAGCCAUGCUUGUAAGGUCUUGGCAGUGCGUUCAAUUUCUGGAUCGUAAAGAAGAGCUUCUUUACGAUCAGCCCUGGUCAUAAAAGGAAAAUACGUUAGUUAGAUCAAAUCCCCGGCAACGGCGCCAAUUUUUGAUAAGCGGUUGUCGAAGCCGUAAAAAAUAAACCUAUUAAACAAUCAACAAUUAACUUGUAGAUAGUGGCAAUAGGGUCGAACCACAGGGAUUUGACACUACGGAUUUUCCUACUAAUAACUUGGACAAGUAAAUAACAAGAAAUUAAAAGAGGAGGGUUUUGUUUUGAUGAUUAAAACUAAAUAGCAAGAGAAAGCAAUAAUUUAAAUAGAUGAGAAUUUCAAUAGGAGAAGAAUUCUAGUUGAAGAAUGGAUCUAUUUCAGUUUGUUUAGAAUUGAUCAUUGAUCUUUUCGAUACUCCUAUUUAUUUCAAUAAAUUAGUUUAGGAUGUGGAAGACGCUUCUCACAAUUCAAAUUCCUCCUUAGUUCUAGUUUGAUUAGGAAACGUUCGCUAAUCAAACACUAGUUAACAAGUUGCCAAGGAACGUCCUUGGGGCUUUUAGCAUCGAACAACUGUUAACUGCAUUAAGACUUAGAGAAACCUAAUUCUAACCUUGCCAACCGCGUGGUCAAGUUUAGAUUAUGCAACUUGAUUAAAUGUGUGUUUAAAUAAUCUAAGCAAUUACGGACCUAAAUUAUUCAAACAAUUGUUACUCAAGCAAUUAAAAGCAAUAGGCCUAAAUUGAUUCUAAAAGCAAAGCAACAAUUAUAGAAAGAUCAAAUUGCAUAAAUAUUGAAAAUAAAUAGAAGUUUAACAAUGGAGAUUUAAAUCUCCCAAUUCAUCAUAAAUCUGAAUUUUCCAACUUCAACUAGAAAAAUAAAGUGUUUAGCCACUCAUGGUGGAUAAAAUCACAAAAGAAAGAAGAAAAGAAAGAAGAAGAAAAGCUGCUGUAUUUUUCUGCAGAAUUGCUGAAGAUGAGAUGAAGAAGAGAUGCCUUUGCUGGUUUGGAGGCUGCUCUUUUAUAGCUGAAGAUUUCCAUCCAUCUAGGGUUUUGAAAUCCCUUUUUGAUUUGGCUUAUGAUUCCUCUUUUGAUGUUGAAUUUAAUUGCAAAUGGAAUUCCUUAGGUGAGAAACUCUUUCGUGGCUCUUGAAAUUGUGUUGGUAGUGAUUGAGUUGGAUUUGGACUUCUAAAAAUUCGAAAUUCGGUUCCCUGCUGUUUUUCCGCCUCUGCUGUCAAUUUCUGCUGUCAAGGUGAUUUGGGCAAAUCACUUGCUCGAUCUGCCCCAAUCGCUCUCUGGGAUUUCAGUCCAGUUUCUGUCUCUGUUUCUGCGAGUGAUUUGGCCAGUUUCUGCGAGUGAUUUGGGCAAAUCACUUUGACCAAAUAACUUUUCCAGCUUUUUCUUCACUUUUUCUCCAACUUUCCAAUUUCUUCUUUUUCUGUAAAAAUAUAACAAAAACACAAAUUAAGCUAGAAAAAUGUGUAAAUAAACAGUAAUAAAUAUAAUAAAAAUGUGGCUAAAUUAUGCAUGAUCACAAAAACCUCUUAAUAGAUAAGAAUACACCCCAACCAAUUCUUAAAAAAUAUAAAUUUGUUUCAAAUUAGAAUUAGUAACUAAUUCCAACAUUGAAGUAGUGAAAAAACUCAUAAGCAAAAAAUCUCAAAUGGCCAUGAUCACAAAACAUAUAGUCGUUAUUAUAAAAAGAAUCAAAAUGCCAAUUGUAGUAAUUAGUAUUGACAAAAUAGAAGCAAGCGAUUCAAUCAAGUGUCUGAACUCUAAAGAAAAAUUCAUACAAUCAAUUAGACACCUAUCAGCUAGCUGCAUCUCAUUACCAUCAUGUUUGAUCUUGUCUAGAAAUCUAAGUGCAUCCCUAUCCUAUCAUAGGUCGUUCCAAUUAGCUUAUUGUAUGAAAUAAUCUGUUUAAAAGAUUCCACUCUUUAUUGUUGUGGAGGAUUUGCCAUCAACUGAUUUAUCAUAGUAAACAUCUAUUGUAAUCUAAUAUAGCGAUGGUUAUGGGAUCUACAAGAUCAUAAUCCAUAUGUGGCUAUGGUGGCGGCUGCUCUUUAGCUUAAGCAUCUUUUAGCCUCCUACCAUGCUGUCUAGGAGUUGAAGUCUCAAUAUGAGUAGAUGCCUCAUCUUUUGCAUCUGACUCCUGUACCAUAGUAGGUCUCCACUCCCUACGCAUCACUUCUUGAAACUAAAUUCAUAUAAUCAACAUACUACAAUAUUUAGAGAUCUAAACAUAUAAGACGAAAGAAAUUUACAUAAACUAAAUCUAAUAUAAACUUUUAGAAGCAACGAUUAUAAACAAGUAUGAACAACAAUCCUAUAAUCCACAUGUGACAACCUACAUGCAAUUUUCAAGAUUUUAAGUUUAAGAUCCAAUACCAACUUUGUCACGAUCCAACUUUGGACCGAACCAACAUUAGGACUGGGGCUAACCUAAAGCCUCCAAACUCUGUAGUAAGCCAUUAUCUCUCAACUUACAAUUAAGAAACAACUAGAAAUGCUCAAAAUCAAGAAAUUAAAAGGACAUAGUUCCACCAUUGACUUAACAUAUCAAUGGAGAGAAAAUUUACUCGACUUAUAAAUGAAUAAAUUAUAACAAUUUGGAGAGCUCAACUCACCCAAACAAUCCACAACAUUCUCAAAUAAUCACAUGAUAAGUAAUAACAUUAUAGAGAGCUCGGCUCUCUAAAAGAAGUCCAAUAUCAUGAAAUAUAUUAGUUGAAAUAAAGAUUCUUACUACCUAGGGGUUACAUUCAACAUUCAUUAUGGAAUUCACUAUGGAGUUCUAGAGAUAAAAUUUUAAAAUAUCAAAAUAUAAUAAAAAUGUAGAAAAUUUUGUGUGAAAGAAUUGUAGGUCAAUUCGCAAAGAAGUCCACAUGUCAUCUGGAGAAAAAUAUUUGAACAGAGUGAGCGUUAUACUCAAGAAGUAUAGAUAUUAAUUAUAAUCAUAAUUCUAUAACUAUAAUUACUAAUGCAAUACUAUCAAUGAAAAUGUAUCAAUCAAUUAAUCACACAAUCUUUACACAAAAGGAUAAAUUGGAGCGAGUUACACACUCAUCUAUAAUAAAUAUUUGGAGCCAACCCCAUAUCUUGGCUCUCUUAAUCCAACAUGUCCUCCCAUACCAUUCUAUGAGAUUAGCUGAAAUAUACCGUUGUACUUACCUUGUAGUGUUGAGAGAAAACAAAAUAUAGUAUCAUACCUACCUCCCCUAUCCAUAUCCUUGGGAGUCAGUGAGAUAAUGAGUCAUACCUACCGCAAGACUCUACAUCCAUCUAUAUAUAUGUAAUCUCCUAUUUAUUGAAGGCAGCACAAUAUAAAAUAAAUAAUGCAAAGAAUAGAUGGUGUUCCUAAUAUAUUAACUAAGUACAUAAUAUAAGUGAUGUAUCAACAUGUUAGAUAAAUAUAAAUAAUAUUAAAUUUAUAAAGAUAAUUAAUAUUCAACUCAUAAAAUAGGGUGACUCAUUACCUAACAGUCUUAAAAGAUGGCUAAUUUAGAUUAGCUAUAUAAAGUCAUCAAAAUAUUAUUAAAGACGAACCAUAA
rnacentral:lncRNA from 1 species